rnacentral:rRNA from 1 species
UAGCGGGGGAUAACUAUUGGAAACGAUAGCUAAUACCGCAUAACAGUAGAUGUUGCAUGACAUUUGCUUAAAAGGUGCAAUUGCACCACUACCAGAUGGACCUGCGUUGUAUUAGCUAGUUGGUGGGGUAACGGCUCACCAAGGCGACGAUACAUAGCCGACCUGAGAGGGUGAUCGGCCACACUGGGACUGAGACACGGCCCAGACUCCUACGGGAGGCAGCAGUAGGGAAUCUUCGGCAAUGGACGGAAGUCUGACCGAGCAACGCCGCGUGAGUGAAGAAGGUUUUCGGAUCGUAAAGCUCUGUUGUAAGAGAAGAACGAGUGUGAGAGUGGAAAGUUCACACUGUGACGGUAGCUUACCAGAAAGGGACGGCUAACUACGUGCCAGCAGCCGCGGUAAUACGUAGGUCCCGAGCGUUGUCCGGAUUUAUUGGGCGUAAAGCGAGCGCAGGCGGUUAGAUAAGUCUGAAGUUAAAGGCUGUGGCUUAACCAUAGUACGCUUUGGAACUGGUAACUUGAGUGCAGAGGGGAGAGUGGAUUCCAUGUGUAGCGGUGAAAUGCGUAGAUAUAUGGAGGACACCGGUGGCGAAGCGGCUCUCUGGC